UACGAAGGGUGCAAACGUUGCUCGGAAUUAUUGGGCGUAAAGCGCACGUAGGCGGCUUUGCAAGUCGGAUGUGAAAUCCCUCGGCUUAACCAAGGAAGUGCAUCCGAAACUGCAGAGCUUGAGUACUUAAGAGGAUCGCGGAAUUCCCGGUGUAGAGGUGGAAUUCGUAGAUAUCGGGAGGAACACCAGUGGCGAAGGCGGCGAUCUGGGAAGAUACUGACGCUGAGGUGCGAAAGCGUGGGGAGCAAACAGG
rnacentral:rRNA from 1 species